AAACAAGGUGCCCUUGUCAGGCAAGGGGUAACAGGGAAUCGGGUGAAACUCCCGAGCGGUCCCGCCACUGUAAGAAAGAGCUGAACUUCAGGAUGUCACUCGGCAAGGCUGCCGGGGAAGACGAAGAUUUGGCGUUUGUAUUUCGAGCCAGGAGACCUACCUUGUU
rnacentral:ncRNA from 1 species